rnacentral:rRNA from 1 species
UACGGAGGGUGCAAGCGUUAUCCGGAUUCACUGGGUUUAAAGGGUGUGUAGGCGGGUAUUUAAGUCAGUGGUGAAAUCUCCAGGCUCAACCUGGAAACUGCCACUGAUACUAUUUAUCUUGAAUUCUGUUGAGGUGGGCGGAAUACAUCAUGUAGCGGUGAAAUGCUUAGAUAUGAUGUAGAACACCGAUUGCGAAGGCAGCUCACUAAACAGACAUUGACGCUGAGGCACGAAAGCGUGGGGAUCAAACAGG